rnacentral:rRNA from 1 species
UACGGGGGGGGCAAGCGUUGUUCGGAAUUACUGGGCGUAAAGGGCGCGUAGGCGGCCUUCUAAGUCGGACGUGAAAUCCCUCGGCUUAACCGAGGAACUGCGUCCGAUACUGAAAGGCUUGAAUCCGGGAGAGGGAUGUGGAAUUCCAGGUGUAGCGGUGAAAUGCGUAGAUAUCAGGAGGAACACCUGCGGUGUAGACGGCUUUCUGGACCAUUGUUGACGCUGAGACACGAAAGCGUGGGUAGCAAACAGG